AGAGUAGUUUCAUUGUCCUAAAAGUCCUCCAGGCUUCACCUAUUCCUCCCUCCCUCCACCCUAACCUCUAACAACCCCUGAUCUUUUCACUGUCUCCAUAGUUUUGCCUUUUCCAGAAUGUCAUGUACUUGGAAUCAUACAGAACGUAGCAUUCUCAGACUGGCUUCUUUCACUUAGUAAGAUGCAUUUAAUUUCUUCCGUGUCUUUUCAUGUCUUGGCAGCUCAUUUCUUGGUAGUGCUAAAUAAUAUUCCCUUGUCUGGAUGCACCACAGAUAAACCAUAUAUUUUUUGUGUCUAUUUUUACAGGAGUCCAGUCAGUAGUAUACGUCAGAACUGUAUAUAUCAUCUUGCCUAUUUUGAUUAUCUUGGUCAUUGUGGGAUCCUUUUGCCUUUGGAAAAUCCGUGUCUGCAGAAAAUGCAAAUUAAAAAAAAGAGAAGCUAAUUCAGUUGUUGAGGAGGAUGAAAUGCAGCCCUAUGCCAGCUACACAGAGAAGAACAAUCCACUUUAUGAUACUGUGAGCCAGGUGAAGAGGUCUGACGUGUUACAAAAUGAAGCUGAUGGGCUGUGUCUCCAUACUUCAUACAUUACUGGAAUCUAGCACUAGGUCAAAUGAAGAAAGAUACAGUACAGCUACCAUGUUUAGUUUCUUGGUGUUCUACAAUGCAAAACCUAUUCUGAGAUUAGCUUUUCAAAGAUUCUGAGAAGAUAGAGACUUUUAAAGUGUGUGCUUCCAUAUCCUUACUUAUACAAUUGAUAUUUUAGAAUGUGAGCUGCUAUUAACUAGUCCUUUGAAGAACUGAUAUCAUUACAAAGAAAGCAAAUGCUCAUGAUAAAGUAUUCUAAUUGCUUAGUACAGUAGAACAUGAAAACUGAGUUUCCUCAAGAAAGAACUCUGCAGAAGGAACAACCAUCAACAGCUUUUAUGUGUCCUCCAGAAAAUUUUGUGUACAUACAUAUGCUGAAGGUAUGUAUGUGUGUACAUUUAUAAGACUUUACAUAUAUACCAUAUCCUUGUCAAGAUACAUAUGGGAACAUACCGUGAUGCUCUUCUGUACUGAUAGAAAGCUAUAAUAUAAUAGGUCUUGGAGAUCUUUUCCAUGAAUACAAGCAGAGCUACCUCAUUCUUUUUAAUAGCUAUAAAACAUUCCAUUGUAUGGUUAUGUCAUAAUUUAAAUAGCCACAGCCCUAGCGAUAGACAUUUAGAUUGCUUUAAGCUUUGUUUGUAUGUUUUGCUGUUAUAACCAAUACCACAUAGAAUGUUUCUUAUGGAUAUAUCUCUUUAUAUUUGUUUCAGUAUAUUUAUAGAGUAAUUUCUCUCAGUGGAAUUACCAGGUCAAAAGGGUUUGUGCUAUAAACAUUGGGGUGCAUGUGCCCCUUCGAAAUAGCAUACCUGUAUCCCAUGGAUAAAUACCUAGUAGUGCAAAUUGCUGUUGGGUCUUAGGUGGUUUUGAGCUAAUUUUGAGGAACCUCCCUAAUGCUUUCCAGAGUGGCUGUAUCAGCCUGCAUUCCCACCAGCAGUACAAAAGAGAUCCUCUUUCUCCGCACCCUCGCCAACAUCUGUUGUUGCCUGAGUUGUUAACGUUAGCCAUUCUGACAGGUGUGAGGUGGUAUCUCAUUGUGGUUUUGAUUUGCAUUUCCCUGAUGAUGAGUGAUGUUAAGCAUUUUUUCAUGUGUCCGUUGGCCAUCUAGCCAAGGUAUGGAAAGAGCCCAAAUGUCCAUCGAUGGAUGAAUGGAUAAAGAAGACGUGGUGUAUGUAUAUAUACAAUGGAGUAUUACUCGGCAAUCAAAAAGAAUGAAAUCUUGCCAUUUGCAACUACAUGGAUGGAACGGGAGGGUAUUAUGCUAAGUGAAGUUAGUCAGAGAAAGACAAAUAUCAUGUGACUUCACUCAUAUGAGGACUUUAAGAUACAAAACAGAUGAACAUAAGGGAAAGAAGGCAAAAUAAUAUAAAAACAGGGAGGGGGACAAAAACAUAAGAGACUCGUAAAUAUGGAGAACAAACAGAGGGUUACUGGAAGGGUUGUGGGAGGGGGGAUGGGCUAAUUGGGUAAGGGGCAUUAAGGAAUCUAUUCCUGAAAUCAUUGUUGCACUAUAUGCUAACUUGGAUGUAAAUUAAAAAAUAAAUUAAAUACAAAUCAAAACAAAACAAAACAAACCAAAAAAAAGGGUUUGUGCAUUUUUUAUUGACUGAUAUGUCAAAUUGUAUCAAUUUACUUUCCCCUCAACCGUGUUUGAAUGUGUCUUUCCAUAUACUGUCAUUUCCAAGUAUGCAAGAUUACCACUUCUUGUUUUCAAUUGACCAGUUAACUAAUGUGUGUAAGAUUAUAAUAAAAAUUACACUAUUUAACAAAACUGGAUUUAUGUUUUUCUGUCAUGUUUAUGAGAAAGAGCAUGAAUGAGAGCGAACACAUGAUGAAUUGGCUUUCUGAACUCAUUUGACGUCAAUAGAGAUUUUGAUAGCUAAUGCCUAAUAGUUUUGCAGAUGCAGUAAAUCUAAAUUGACUAGUUUAAUGAAGUACAUUUUAUUGUGAAGUAUUUAGCAAAUAACUGAUGUUCAUUGAUUAUAUAAGCAGCUAAAUUUACAUUUUGAAGAACUUGGGUAUCCAUAAAAUUGGUUCAUAUGCUAAGAGAAUACCUAAUGAAUGACAUGACCCUUCCCCUCAAUUUUUCUGUGGAACAUAGUAUUAAGAAUGUAUAUAUUUAUUGUUUUUAAUAUUAUGAAAAUCAUUUUUUACUUAUGAAAAUUUAUGAAAAAAUCAGUCUGCUUCUCCAUAGUAGGAAAAACAUUAAACAUUUUCAUCAUGGUAAAAACUGAAACAAAAUUCAUCCACUCUUCAGUUAUGCUAUUUGAAAUACUUAUAACAGCUCUUUUGUCAUUGUUUUUCUCCCUCCAGACAUUUUGGCUACACUAGGCUUUAUACUUAAAAAGAUUUUUACUUUAUUUUGGAGGUAAAACUAAUGUAAUGACAUUUGUCACAUGAUUUUGACCAAACCAUUUUGACACCAUUUGACUAUGCCAAAAACAAAAACAAAACCAGUCCAUUAAGUUUCCCCAUAUAAGUAUUACCAAGUAGUGCACACAACAGACACCAUGACCCUGUCCUUGACCUUUUCUUAAUUUUUCCUCCAUCCCUGGUUGGGAGGAGACUCACAGUUAAAUGGGUUCAAAAAUAUCUCUUUUAAUAUUACUAAAAAACAAAGCAAAGCAAAAUUGUAUUUACAUCUUAACUUGCUAAUGUCAAAACAGUCAUGUAAAUGACACUUUAAAGACUUCAAGAUAGUGUAUAAUGCUAAAUUACAUUGUACAGGAAAUGAUUGUAUUAAAGUCUUCCAUUACAGGGGUGCUAAAUGCGGUUGAACAUCAGAAUCAUGUGAGGAAAUACAAAAUUAUAUAGAUCACCCAAAUGCAGUUUAGAUCCGCUGAAUCAGAAAAACAUGGAAACUAAAACAGGGUCUCCGGGAAGCAGAGGCUGAGAUGGAGGUAGGAGCAGUAAAGGUUAAUUGGGAGAGAGGGCUUCUACCUGUGAAAGAUGAAAGGGGCAGGAAGUAGGAGAGGAGAGACAAAGCCUUCAGCCCCUGCUGCUGAUCUGAAUCAAACCUGUGAAAGGAAAAGGAGAGGGAGCAGGAUACAAGGGCCUCAGAUCACAUACAGAACUGCCAAAUUCUUCGCCAAACCCAUGAGAAGCCCUGGAGCAAAGAUGACUUGUAUGAAGUAUCUUAAAAGAGCAGGAAUGGCCAAACCCUAAUGUGCCUUCAUGCAUAGUCAUUGUCUGGAAAGAAUAUGGCCUCAACUCAAAAGUUGAAAUGGAGAAGCGCCUGGGUGGCUCAGUCCAGAUGAGCAUCGGACUUCAGAUCAGGUCAUCAUCUCGUGGUUCAGGAGUUCCAGACCUGCAUCAGGCUCUGUGCUGAUGGCUCAGAGACUGGAGCCUGCUUUGGAUUCUAUGUCUCCCUCUCUAUCUGACCCUCCCCCACUCAUACUGUCUCUCUCUUUCUCAAAAAUAAAUUAAAACAUUAAAAAAAAAGCUGAAAUGUAUCCUGAAGCCAUUAACUGCUGGAGACCAUCAGCUCAUUGCAUUCCUUGUGUUUGAAUGGUGAGUUCUCUAUUGAUGGGAAAU
rnacentral:lncRNA from 1 species